GAUGAACGCUGGCGGCGUGCUUAAUACAUGCAAGUCGAACGGAGGAUGUAGCGAUAUAUCCUCAGUGGCGAACGGGUGAGUAACGCGUUGGUGACCUGCCCCGAAGAGAGGGAUAACAGUUCGAAAGGAUUGCUAAUACCCCAUGUGGUCAUUUGGAUUAGAUGCCUUAUGACUAAACGGAUUUAUUCGCUUCGGGAGGGGCCUGCGUCCCAUCAGCUAGUUGGUAGGGUAAUGGCCUACCAAGGCGAUGAUGGGUAGCCGGCCUGAGAGGGUGAUCGGCCACACUGGGACUGAGACACGGCCCAGACUCCUACGGGAGGCUG
rnacentral:rRNA from 1 species